rnacentral:rRNA from 1 species
GGCGUGCCUAUACAUGCAGUCGAGCGAAUGGAUUAAGAGCUUGCUCUUAUGAAGUUAGCGGCGGACGGGUGAGUAACACGUGGGUAACCUGCCCAUAAGACUGGGAUAACUCCGGGAAACCGGGGCUAAUACCGGAUAACAUUUUGAACYGCAUGGUUCGAAAUUGAAAGGCGGCUUCGGCUGUCACUUAUGGAUGGACCCGCGUCGCAUUAGCUAGUUGGUGAGGUAACGGCUCACCAAGGCAACGAUGCGUAGCCGACCUGAGAGGGUGAUCGGCCACACUGGGACUGAGACACGGCCCAGACUCCUACGGGAGGCAGCAGUAGGGAAUCUUCCGCAAUGGACGAAAGUCUGACGGAGCAACGCCGCGUGAGUGAUGAAGGCUUUCGGGUCGUAAAACUCUGUUGUUAGGGAAGAACAAGUGCUAGUUGAAUAAGCUGGCACCUUGACGGUACCUAACCAGAAAGCCACGGCUAACUACGUGCCAGCAGCCGCGGUAAUACGUAGGUGGCAAGCGUUAUCCGGAAUUAUUGGGCGUAAAGCGCGCGCAGGUGGUUUCUUAAGUCUGAUG